rnacentral:rRNA from 1 species
CCUACGGGAGGCAGCAGUAGGGAAUCUUCCACAAUGGACGAAAGUCUGAUGGAGCGACGCCGCGUGAGUGAAGAAGUAUUUCGGCUCGUAAAGCUCUGUUAGCAGGGAAGAAAAAUACAGGUACUAACUGACCUGUCUUUGACGAUAAUUACUUAGAAGGUCACGGCUAACUACGUGCCAGCAGCCGCGGUGAUACGUAGGUGGCAAGCGGUGUCCGGAUUGAUUGGACGUAAAGCGAGUGCAGUCGGUGCAAUAAGUCUGAUGUGAAAGCCUGCGGCUCAACCGGGGAACUGCAUCAGAAACUGUUGAACUGGAGUGCAGAAGAGGAGAGUGGAACUCCAUGUGUAGCGGUGGAAUGCGUAGAUAUAUGGAAGAACACCAGUGGCGAAGGCGGCUUUCUGGACUGCAACUGACGCUGAGGCUCGAAAGCAUGGGGAGCGAACAGGAUUAGAUACCCCGGUAGUC